GCGAUAGGCCUUACACAUGCAAGUCGAGGGGCAGCACGAAAGCGUAGCAAUACUUUUGGUGGCGACCGGCGCACGGGUGAGUAACGCGUAUGCAACCUACCUACUACUUUGGGAUAGCUCGUUGAAAGACGAAUUAAUACCUUAUAAAACAGGGGCUCCGCAUGGAGAUAUUUGUUAAAGAUUUAUCGGUAGUAGAUGGGCAUGCGUUCCAUUAGUUAGUUGGUGAGGUAACGGCUCACCAAGACAACGAUGGACAGGGGAACUGAGAGGUUUGUCCCCCACACUGGAACUGAGACACGGUCCAGACUCCUACGGGAGGCAGCAGUGAGGAAUAUUGGUCAAUGGAGGCAACUCUGAACCAGCCAAGUCGCGUGAAGGAUGACUGCCCUACGGGUUGUAAACUUCUUUUUUAGGGAAU
rnacentral:rRNA from 1 species